UGUGUAGGCGGCUCUCUAAGUUUGGUGUGAAAUCUCCCGGCUCAACCGGGAGGGUGCGCCGAAAACUGGAGGGCUAGAGUGCGGGAUGGGAGAGUAGAAUUCCUGGUGUAGCGGUGAAAUGCGUAGAUAUCAGGAGGAAUACCGGUGGUGUAGACGGCUCGUCUGGACCGCAAACUGACGCUGAAACACGAAAGCGUGGGUAGCAAACAGGAUUAGAUACCCUGGUAGUCCAACGCCCUAAACGAUGCAUAUUGGUGUAGGUCAUUCAGUUGAUCUGUGCCGGAGCUAACGCGUUAAAUAUGCCGCCUGGGGAGUACAGUCGCAAGGCUGAA
rnacentral:rRNA from 1 species